GGAAACUGUUACCAUCGCAAGCGACGAAGAGUUGAGAGGAAGAGGGGGAGGAAAGGAAGCAGAAAAGGAAGGAAGGGAAGGAGGGAAGGAAGGAGGAACAAAAAGGAGGACGAGCGAAAGAAGAGAGGACAGAAGAUGGGAGGACAACAAAAUAAAGAAGCCAGUUGUUGGAGAACAGAAAGAAAGAAGUCUGUAAUAAAAAGAGUAAAGCAGAUGAGUAAUCCGAGAGGCAUUGGAGUAAAACUGACACUUUAAUUUCAAGAAGUAAUACUAGAGAGGAAGAGGAAAGGGGUAAGUACCGGGGCGGGGGAGGAAGAAGAGGAGGAGAACACACACCAAAACUGAUAUUGAGGAAAGUCUUUAAUGGUUCGUAAUGUCUAAAUAAUUUACAAGAUGAAUAUGUACCAAAUAUAUGUCUGAUCAUUG
rnacentral:lncRNA from 1 species